rnacentral:rRNA from 1 species
GAUGAACGCUAGCGGCAGGCUUAACACAUGCAAGUCGAGGGGUAUAGUUCUUCGGAACUAGAGACCGGCGCACGGGUGCGUAACGCGUAUGCAAUCUACCUUUUGCAGAGGGAUAGCCCAGAGAAAUUUGGAUUAAUACCUCAUGGUAUGUGAGAAUGGCAUCAUUUUCACAUUAAAGUCACAACGGCAAAAGAUGAGCAUGCGUCCCAUUAGCUUGUUGGUAAGGUAACGGCUUACCAAGGCAACGAUGGGUAGGGGUCCUGAGAGGGAGAUCCCCCGCACUGGUACUGAGACACGGACCAGACUCCUACGGGAGGCAGCAGUGAGGAAUAUUGGACAAUGGGCGCAAGCCUGAUCCAGCCAUGCCGCGUGCAGGAUGACGGUCCUAUGGAUUGUAAACUGCUUUUGUACAGGAAGAAACACUGGUUCGUGAACCAGCUUGACGGUACUGUAAGAAUAAGGAUCGGCUAACUCCGUGCCAGCAGCCGCGGUAAAAC